rnacentral:rRNA from 1 species
UGGGCACUCUAAGGAGACUGCCGGUGACAAACCGGAGGAAGGUGGGGAUGACGUCAAGUCAUCAUGGCCCUUACGGCCUGGGCUACACACGUGCUACAAUGGUCGGUACAAAGGGUUGCCAAGCCGCGAGGUGGAGCUAAUCCCAUAAAACCGAUUGUAGUCCGGAUCGCAGUCUGCAACUCGACUGCGUGAAGUCGGAAUCGCUAGUAAUCGUGAAUCAGAGUGUCACGGUGAAUACGUUCCCGGGCCUU